GGGUUGUGAGGUUAAGCGACUAAGCGUACACGGUGGAUUUUUCGAGGCGAUGAAGGACGUGCUAAUUCAUGGUGAUAAGUAAGCGUCGGUGGGGUGUGAUAUGAACCGUUAUAACCUCGCGAUUUCGAAUGAAACCCAGUGUUUCGACACACUAUCAUUAACUGAAUCCAUAGGUUAAUGAGGCGAACCGGGGGAACUGAAACAUCUAAGUACCCCGAGGAAAAGAAAUCAACCGAGAUUCCCCCAGUAGCGGCGAGCGAACGGGGAGGAGCCCAGAGCCUGAAUCAGUGUGUGUGUUAGUGGAAGCGUCUGGAAAGGCGCGCGAUACAGGGUGACAGCCCCGUACACAAAAAUGCACAUGCUGUGAGCUCGAUGAGUAGGGCGGGACACGUGGUAUCCUGUCUGAAUAUGGGGGGACCAUCCUCCAAGGCUAAAUACUCUGACUGACCGAUAGUGAACCAGUACCGUGAGGGAAAGGCGAAAAGAACCCCGGCGAGGGGAGUGAAAAAGAACCUGAAACCGUGUACGUACAAGCAGUGGGAGCCUCUUUUAUGGGGUGACUGCGUACCUUUUGUAUAAUGGGUCAGCGACUUAUAUUCUGUAGCAAGGUUAACCGAAUAGGGGAGCCGAAGGGAAACCGAGUCUUAACUGGGCGUUAAGUUGCAGGGUAUAGACCCGAAACCCGGUGAUCUAGCCAUGGGCAGGUUGAAGGUUGGGUAACACUAACUGGAGGACCGAACCGACUAAUGUUGAAAAAUUAGCGGAUGACUUGUGGCUGGGGGUGAAAGGCCAAUCAAACCGGGAGAUAAAUAAGGUCUUCCCCGCUGAAAGCUAUUUAUAGGUGGUAGCGCCUCGUGAAUUCAUCUCCGGGGGUAGAGCACUGUUUCGGCAAGGGGGUCAUCCCGACUUACCAACCCGAUGCAAACUGCGAAUACCGGAGAAUGUUAUCACGGGAGACACACGGCGGGUGCUAACGUCCGUCGUGAAGAGGGAAACAACCCAGACCGCCAGCUAAGGUCCCAAAGUCAUGGUUAAGUGGGAAACGAUGUGGGAAGGCCCAGACAGCCAGGAUGUUGGCUUAGAAGCAGCCAUCAUUUAAAGAAAGCGUAAUAGCUCACUGGUCGAGUCGGCCUGCGCGGAAGAUGUAACGGGGCUAAACCAUGCACCGAAGCUGCGGCAGCGACGCUUAUGCGUUGUUGGGUAGGGGAGCGUUCUGUAAGCCCGUACUGUGAGGUACAGGUAAUUGUAGCGCGUGCGAAUGCUGACAUAAGUAACGAUAAAGCGGGUGAAAAGCCCGCUCGCCGGAAGACCGGUCCUGUCCAACGUUAAUCGGGGCAGGGUGAGUCGACCCCUAAGGCGAGGCCGAAAGGCGUAGUCGAUGGGAAACAGGUUAAUAUUCCUGUACUUGGUGUUACUGCGAAGGGGGGACGGAGAAGGCUAUGUUGGCCGGGCGACGGUUGUCCCGGUUUAAGCGGUAGGCUGGUUUUCCGGUGCAAAUCCGAAACUAAGGCUGAAAGGGAUGACGAAAGGCACUAAUGGUGUUUAGAAGUUAAACAAAUGUCCUGCUUCCGAAAGCCCUAAGCAUCAGGGUAACAUCAAAUCGUACCUCCCCAAACCGACAGGUGGUCAGGGUAGAGAAUACCAAGGCGUUUGAGAACCGGGUGAAGGAACUAGGGCAAAAUGCAACUGAGAAGGCACGCUGAUAUGUAGGCGAAGUCCUCGCGGAUGGAGCUGAAAUCAGUCGAAGAUACCAGCUGUAAACUGUUUAUUAAAAACACAGCACCGUGCAAAACACGAAAGUGGACGUAUACGGUGUGACGCCUGCCCUGCGCCGGAAGGUUAAUUGAUGGGUUAGCGCGCGAAGCCUGAUCAAAGCCCGCAAACGGCGGUCGUAACUAUAACGGUCCCAGGCGAAAUUCCUUUGUCGGGUAAAGUCUGACCAAAAUGAAUGGCGUAAUGAUGGUUGCCACCCGAGACUCAGUGAAAUUGAACUCGCGUGAAGAUGCAGUGUACCCGCGGCAAGACGGAAAGACCCCGUGAACCUUUACUAUAGCUUGACACUGAACAUUGAGCCUUGAUGUGUAGGAUAGGUGGGAGGCUUUGAAGUGUGGACGCCAGUCUGCAUGGAGCCGACCUUGAAAUACCACCCUUUAAUGUUUGAUGUUCUAACGUUGACCCGUAAUCCGGGUUGCGGACAGUGUCUGGCGGUAGUUUGAUUAGCGGUCUCCUCCUAAAGAGUAACGGAGGAGCACGAAGGUUGGCUAACUCCUGGUCGGACAUCAGGAGGUUAGUGCAAUGGCAUAAGCCAGCUUGACUGCGAGCGUGACGGCGCGAGCAGGUGCGAAAGCAGGUCAUAGUGAUCCGGUGGUUCUGAAUGGAAGGGCCAUCGCUCAACGGAUAAAAGGUACUCCGGGGAUAACAGGCUGAUACCGCCCAAGAGUUCAUAUCGACGGCGGUGUUUGGCACCUCGAUGUCGGCUCAUCACAUCCUGGGGCUGAAGUAGGUCCCAUGGGUAUGGCUGUUCGCCAUUUAAAGUGGUACGUGAGCUGGGUUUAGAACGUCGUGAGACAGCGUUCGGUCCCCACCCGCUGUGGGCGCUGAGAACUGAGGGGGCUGUCUUGUACGAGAGGACCGGAGGGACGCAUCAUCACUGGUGUUCGUUGUCAUGCCAAAUGGUAAUCUCGCCCGGUGGUAGCUAAAUGCGGAGUAUGGCGGCUGUUAAUCUGCUAACGAACUUGCCCUGAGAUGAGUUCCCUGACUCCCCUGAGAGUCCUGAAGGAACGUUGAAGACGACGACGUUGAUAGGCCGGGUGUGUAAGCGCAGCGAUGCGUUGAGCUAACCGGUACUAAUGAACCGUGAGGCUUAACCUUACAACGCCGAAG
rnacentral:rRNA from 1 species